UUUUUAUGCAGCCCUAGUUCAGUGAAAUCCCAAUCCACUAGUUUCUAGGCUUUUUUUCCCCAGCAGCCAGCAAGCUCCCUGCUGCUCCCUUAGUCUCCCAAUGGGCAGCAGGGAGCUUGCUGGCUGCUGGAAAAAAAAGCCUAGAAACUAGUGGAUUGGGAUUUCACUGAACCAGGGCUG